UACGUAGGGUGCAAGCGUUGUCCGGAAUUAUUGGGCGUAAAGAGCUCGUAGGCGGCUUGUCACGUCGGGUGUGAAAGCCCGGGGCUUAACCCCGGGUCUGCAUUCGAUACGGGCAGGCGUAGAGUGUGGUAGGGGAGGAUCGGAAUUCCUGGUGUAGCGGUGAAAUGCGCAGAUAUCAGGAGGAACACCGGUGGCGAAGGCGGAUCUCUGGGCCAUUACUGACGCUGAGGAGCGAAAGCGUGGGGAGCGAACAGG
rnacentral:rRNA from 1 species